UACGGAGGGAGCUAGCGUUGUUCGGAAUUACUGGGCGUAAAGCGUGCGUAGGCGGUUAUUCAAGUCAGAGGUGAAAGCCCGGGGCUCAACCCCGGAACGGCCUUUGAAACUAGGUAACUAGAAUCUUGGAGAGGUUAGUGGAAUUCCGAGUGUAGAGGUGAAAUUCGUAGAUAUUCGGAAGAACACCAGUGGCGAAGGCGACUAACUGGACAAGUAUUGACGCUGAGGCACGAAAGCGUGGGGAGCAAACAGG
rnacentral:rRNA from 1 species